UACGUAGGCAGCGAGCGUUGUUCGGAGUUACUGGGCGUAAAGAGUGCGUAGGCGGUUUUCUAAGUUUGGUGUGAAAUCUCCCGGCUUAACUGGGAGGGUGCGCCGAAGACUGGAAGGCUUGAGUAUGGGAGAGGUAAGCGGAAUUCCUGGUGUAGCGGUGAAAUGCGUAGAUAUCAGGAGGAACACCUGCGGUGUAGACAGCUUACUGGACCAUAACUGACGCUGAGGCACGAAAGCGUGGGUAGCAAACAGG
rnacentral:rRNA from 1 species